rnacentral:rRNA from 1 species
UACAGAGGGGGCUAGCGUUGUUCGGAAUUACUGGGCGUAAAGGGCGCGUAGGUGGCCUGUUAAGUCGAACGUGAAAUCCCCGGGCUCAACCCGGGAACUGCGUCCGAGACUGGCAGGCUCGAAUCCGGGAGAGGGAUGUGGAAUUCCAGGUGUAGCGGUGAAAUGCGUAGAUAUCUGGAGGAACACCGAUGGCGAAGGCAGAUCUCUGGGCCAGUACUGACACUGAGGAGCGAAAGCGUGGGUAGCAAACAGG